rfam:Octopus bimaculoides Scaffold53875_contig_38, whole genome shotgun sequence.
GUAUUGCUUCAGCAAUACAUAUACUAAAACUGGAACAAUACAGAGAAGAUUAGCAUGGCCCCUGCACAAGGAUGGCAUACAAAUUUGUGAAGUGUUCCACAUUUUC